CCUACGGGGGGCAGCAGUAGGGAAUAUUGCUCAAUGGGGGAAAGCCUGACGCAGCAACGCCGCGUGAAGGAUGAAGGUUUUCGGAUUGUAAACUCCUUUUGUGAGAGAAGAUAAUGACGGUAUCUCACGGAUAAUCACCGGCUAACUCCGUGCCAGCAGCCGCGGUAAUACGGAGGGGGCAAGCGUUAGUCGGAAUUACUGGGCGUAAAGAGAGCGCAGGCGGGGUUGUAAGUCAGAUGUGAAAUCCUGUAGCUUAACUAUAGAAAUGCAUUUGAAACUAUGAGACUAGAGUGUGGGAGAGGUAGGUGGAAUUCCUGGUGUAGCGGUAAAAUGCGUAGAUAUCAAGAGGAAUACCGAUUGCGAAGGCGACCUACUGGAACAUUACUGACGCUGAGGCACGAAAGCGUGGGUAGCAAACAGGAUUAGAUACCCUAGUAGUC
rnacentral:rRNA from 1 species